GGUCCUUUCAUUUUAUAAAUUAGACCUGAUAUUCCCUGUGUUCUUCAAAAUGAAACUUACCAUAAUUGGAGACAUUUUUCCUAAAAUGCAUUUGAAAUGGCUUUAUUUUUUUGCAUGCCACAAAAAUACCAGAUUUCCUUGUCAGUUAUAUGUUAUUCUUGUCAUGAAGUCUCAUCAGACCUUCUAAUUUGAAAGUUAUCAGUAAUUGAUUUAAUCACAGCCAUAUUAAGUCUCUGUCACCUACAGAUAAGUUUUGUUUUACUCUCAGGCUUCCAUGGAAGUUCUGCAAUCAACCAGCAGGAGAACCGCUUAAACCCAGGAGGCGGAGGUUGCAGUGAGCCAAGUAUGCAUCACUGCACUCCAGCCUGGAAGACAGAGUGAGACCCUGUCUCAACAAAAUAAAUUAAAAUAAAAAAUAAUAUAUUUUUCUAACUAUCAUCCCUUUUCCAAAUCAGGAAUUCCCCUUAAGUUUUCCUCAAUUUCCAUGGCAAUAUCUUUGCAUAGAUUCAUUAAGAAUUUGUCCUUUUUAAAUAAAAAAUAUAAAGGGAACUAUUCAUUAGGCAACAAAUGCCUUGUCUGAAAUAUCACAUUUGAGAAUGCUGCUCAUUUAAUCAGAAAGGUACGCUACUUUAAAGAACUGAGGUCCACUUUCUGGAGCCAAAAACUCAUAAAUCCCUCUCAGAAAAACCUGAUUUGCUUUGUAGGGUCUCAGGUUUAGAGAUGCUGAAAAAGAUAUUUUCGUUGCAGACAAAGGACCUCAGAGUAUUUGGAGAACUUUGAGAAGAGAGGAAUUCUCCCAAAUGUAUAGGUGUCACAGGUAAAAUACAGUCGAGAGAUUUUCUUGGACUUUAAUUCCUUAAAUCAGGAUAGCAAAUAAUAGGGGCUUUUACAAAUUCAAUCUGUUUCCUUACAAAAAUUUUCAGCAAAGUAAUUUCAGCAAAUUAAUUUUCAGCAAAGUAAAUGUAAGAAGACUUAUGUGAAAAAUUAACAUUCUCCAUGUAUCUAUGAAGCCAAACCUAAUAAAACCAGCUUUAAUUUGUGCUCAAGAAUAUUAUUUCACUGAGUUUUCUUAAAUCACAAAGGGGAGACUGUUAUGAAAACUGAUAUAAAAUAAAAAAAACAAGGAAGAAAAGUCUACUAGAUGUCUCUAAUGGAAGACUGCAUUUUUAGAACAUAUCCUUAUAGGCGAUUCUAGCCUUUCUCUGCUAUUUGGCUCUCACACUCUUUACCGUGCAGAUAAUUCACAGCAAUGCAAAAGAAUCCUCAUCUAUAGCCAUGAAAAUAAGUUAUUUGUUAUUUCUGGUAAAGGUUCAAUUGACCUCCCCUUCCAGGAUGAAGAAAGUUUCAUGUCUUUCUGCAUCAUUUCAACUAUUCCUUACUACAUAUAAAUCUGCACUUGUUAACUUCUAUUUUGAAUUGAUUGUGGCAUCUGCCUGCUUCCCCAUUAAAACUGAAUAAAAUCUUUAACACAUAAAAAUGU
rnacentral:lncRNA from 1 species